GGAAACAGUGGCUAAGACUGGAUAGGAAGAUAAAAGGCAUCUUGUAUCUUUUAAAAGACCUAUAGUAAUAGGUAUGCUUUAGGAGGGGCUUGCGCCAUAUUAGUUAGUUGGUAAGGGUAAUGGCCUACCAAGACGAUGAUGUGUAGCUGGACUGAGAGGUUGAACAGCCACAUUGGGACUGAGACACGGCCCAAACUCCUACGGGAGGCAGCAGUAGGGAAUUUUCGGCAAUGGAGGAAACUCUGACCGAGCAACGCCGCGUGAAUGACGAAGUACUUCGGUAUGUAAAGUUCUUUUAUCAAGGAAGAAAAGCAAAUGGCGAACCAUUUGUUUGCCGGUACUUGAUGAAUAAGCCCCGGCUAAUUAUGUGCCAGCAGCCCGCGGUAAGACAUAAGGGGCAAGUGUUAUCCGGAAUUAUUGGGCGUAAAGGGUGCGUAGGCGGUCUAGUAAGUCAGUGGUGUAAUGGCAACGCUUAACGUUGUCCGGCUAUUGAAACUGCUAAACUUGAGUUAGAUAGAGGCGAGUGGAAUUCCAUGUGUAGCGGUAAAAUGCGUAAAUAUAUGGAGGAACACCAGAGGCGUAGGCAGCUCGCUGGGUCUUAACUGACGCUGAGGCACGAAAGCGUGGGGAGCAAACAGGAUUAGAUACCCUGGUAGUCCACGCCGUAAACGAUGAGUACUAAGUGUCGGGUUAAACCGGUACUGAAGUUAACACAUUAAGUACUCCGCCUGAGUAGUACGUACGCAAGUAUGAAACUUAAAGGAAUUGACGGGACUCCGCACAAGCGGUGGAUCAUGUUGUUUAAUUCGAAGAUACCCGAAAAACCUUACCAGGUCUUGACAUGUUUUUGCAAAACGGUAGUAAUAUCGUGGAGGUUACCAGAAACACAGGUGGUGCAUGGUUGUCGUCAGCUCGUGUCGUGAGAUGUUAGGUUAAGUCCUAAAACGAGCGAAACCCUUAUCGUUAGUUGCCAGCACGUUAUGGUGGGGACUUUAACGAGACUGCCAAUGAUAAAUUGGAGGAAGGUGAGGAUCACGUCAAAUCAGCAUGCCCCUUAUGACCUGGGCUACAAACGUGAUACAAUGGCUGUUACAAAGGGUAGCUGAAACGCAAGUUCUUGGCCAAUCCCCAAAAACAGUCCCAGUCCGGAUUGAAGUCUGCAACUCGACUUCAUGAAGUUGGAAUCGCUAGUAAUCGCGAAUCAGCAUGUCGCGGUGAAUACGUUCUCGGGGUUUGUACACACCGCCCGUCAAACCACGAAAGUUGGCAAUACCCCAAAACGGUAGCCUAACUCGUUUAUUCGAGAGGGCGUCGUCUAAGGUAGGGUCAAUGAUUGGGGUUAAGUCGUAACAAGGUAUCCCUACCGGAAGGUGGGGAUGGAUCACCUCCUUUCU
rnacentral:rRNA from 1 species